rnacentral:lncRNA from 10 species
GCUUGAUUUAGAUAUUACACAAUGUAUACAUAUUUUAAGACAUCAUGCUGUACACCAUAAUAUAUACAAUUUUUAUUUGUCAAUUAAAACAUUUUUUAAAAAACACAUGAAUCUCAUGGUACAUGGACUUGCAUUAAAGAUUGGGGUUCAAAUUCUGCCCCUUACUACUUACCUAGCAUGGUAAGUAACGAUCUUGGUGUUUUGCCUUUUCUUUCCUUUGCCCCAUCUCUCUACUGCUAUUUAGUUGAGACCUCCAUCAUCUUUCACCAAGAUCAACAUAACAGUCUCCUAACUGGUCUCUCUGUCUCCAAUCUUACCCUCUACAGUCUGUCAUCAAUCCUAAUGAUAAAUGGAAAUGUGGUCAUCCAAAGUCCUCCAUCAAAACCCUUCAGUGACUCCCCAUUGGCCAGAGGGCAAAGUUGGAGCUUCAAAGCAAUGAUUCAUAGUUAAUUCAAUGAUCUUUGUAAUCCUUUAUGAUCAGUUUCCUCUUUUCACUCAGUGGCAGAUACUUGUAGUUGUCCUCAAAUUUCAUACUCUCAUUUUUCUUUAUUAAUAUAACCACACAUUUUUAACUGAGCUCAUUGAUCAUCAUAACAGAGUCUAUUGAAAGUCCUCAGCAGGCGGUGUGACGAUGUGACCAGCUCUGGCCAAGGAGCUGUAGGCAGAAGUGUCUUGCAGCAGCUCCUGUAAAUCUUAAAAGACAGCUGGUGCGUGUCUUUUUUCCUUUUUUUUUCCCUUCCCCCUUCCUGCUGCGCUGAAUAUGGAUAUGGUGAGUGAAUCUAGAGCAGCCAUUUGGAGGUAUGAAGAGAUCUUGGAAAUAGAGGCCAUGUGUGUUGAAACAAGACCGAACAACUCCAAGUUCCUGAAGACUUCAUUUCACCAACCCAGAACCUCCUUGAUCAUCACAGCCUUUGCAUGGAUGAUUGUCUGUCCUCUGUUGGGCCCCUUCUGAAGAGUUGGAGUUGGACUCUGAAUACCUCAAGAGUGGGAGAUUGGUCUUGCCAAUCAGAGAAGCUCCAGGGCUAGCCUAGUGCCUGGCACAUGCUUUAUACAAUUAUUCCCAAAUCUUCUAAACUGACAGUGAGGGAGAGUAAUUUGAAAGGACUGCUCAACUCAACGUCAUUUGAAGAUUUGCACCACAGCUGCAUUUUUCCAAUUUCCUGGCAUCUAUUCUGCUCUCCUGGACUUUUCAAAAACAAUUGUAAGUGGA